rnacentral:rRNA from 1 species
UACGGAGGGUGCAAGCGUUAAUCGGAAUUACUGGGCGUAAAGCGCGCGUAGGCGGCUUGGUCAGUCGGGUGUGAAAUCCCUGGGCUCAACCUGGGAACUGCAUUCGAUACUGCCUGGCUAGAGUGUGAGAGAGGGUGGUGGAAUUCCCGGUGUAGCGGUGAAAUGCGUAGAUAUCGGGAGGAACAUCAGUGGCGAAGGCGACCGCCUGGCCCAACACUGACGCUGAGGUGCGAAAGCGUGGGUAGCAAACAGGAUUAGAAACCCC